rnacentral:lncRNA from 1 species
UGAACACUAGCUUUGCUAAGUAAAUCAGCUUUAAGCUUCUCAGUUGUAGUCAAUGCAUUCAUCCUCUCGACUUCACCUUGCAACUCAGCUUCCCUUAGAGCAACAGCCUUCUUCGCCUCGACUUCAGCCACCUGAGCCGCCUUGGUCCAAGCCGCUUUCUUCUUAGCCAACUCAGAAUUAGCUUGAGCCACUUCAGCCUCUCUUUGAUUCUCAAAAACCUUCACUUCAGUCCUCACUUUAAUUCCCUCCUUCUCACCCUCUCCAGCUCUCUGCAUCGCAAUAACCUUCGUCUCUGCAUCAAUUUUUGCUGCAUUCUGCAGCGUUUGUCCUUCCCUCAAUUUUGAACCAAUUUCACCUUUCAUCUUAGCUUCUGACACGUCAACCCUAGCUUGAUUCUUGGCUUCCAUCUGCGUCUUUUGACCCAAAUAUGAGAAAUACUCAUGACCGGGCACAUCCACCAAUUGCUUAACAUUCGCAUUGUAAAUCAAUAAUCCGAAUUGAUUCAACUCAAGUUGAACUUUGUCAAAUACUUCUUGUUUAAACUGUUUCGUUCCUCUGAAAACCUCCUCCAUGGUCAUGGAAGCAGCGAGGACACGUGUCUCCCCUUCGAUGAUUCCUUGAACGAGUUCAUUAACGUGAUUGGAGUGUCGAUCAUGAGGUGAAAUAAGUUUGGCGUAUUUGAGAAGGCUUUCCUGAUCGUCAACACGAGGACCAAUUGUGAAGACGGCGGGGAGAACAAAAGGAAGUUUCUCGGCACUCAUAGCUUGAACUUCAAAGGUGUAGUUUACCGGUGAGAGGUCCAAGACAGUGCAGGAUUGACCGGGAAAAAUCCAUGCUUUCUUUUUGAGUUUGAUGUCUUUGAUGAAAAUACCUGUUAUCACAAGGUAUUCUGAUGCUUUCGCGACCCGGUAAAUUUUCAUUCUUGAUGAUUUUGAGAAGAGACUCACUGAUUUUGGUUACAAGAAAAUCGAAACAGAACGAGAGAGAAACGAUUGUGAAAAUCGAUCAGAUUAAGUAACUGUGUUGUUCUUUAUUAUGGCCUAAGGUACUUGGUAGGCUUUGUAUAUAUAUAGAAAUUUGUUAGGUUAAACCCAACGCGGUAAUUAAUUAAAGGAAGAGAGAAUAGAAUAACUGAACGAUAAAAUAGUUAUAAUUUGUUAUGAGAUAUUGUUUUUUUUUUUUUUUAACAAAAUCUCAUUGAUGUUUUUUAGGAAGGAAAAAGGAAAUAUCCUAUCCAAUUUUAUUGGUUACGUUAUUUGGGUUAAUCCACAUAAUUCUGAUU